CUACGGGUCGCUCCAGUGGGGAAUAUUGGACAAUGGGCGCAAGCCUGAUCCAGCAAUGCCGCGUGAGUGAAGACGGCCUUAGGGUUGUAAAACUCUUUCGCUAGGGAAGAUAAUGACUGUACCUAGUAAAGAAGUCCCGGCUAACUCCGUGCCAGCAGCCGCGGUAGUACGGAGGGGACUAGCGUUGUUCGGAAUUACUGGGCGUAAAGAGUUCGUAGGCGGACUGACAAGUUAGAGGUGAAAUCCCAGGGCUCAACCCUGGAACUGCCUUUAAAACUGUCAGUCUAGAGACCGGAAGAGGUUAGGGGAAUACCUAGUGUAGAGGUGAAAUUCGUAGAUAUUAGGUGGAACACCAGUGGCGAAGGCGCCUAACUGGUCCGGUACUGGCGCUGAGGAACGAAAGCGUGGAGAGCAAACAGGAUUAGAUACCCUGGUAGUC
rnacentral:rRNA from 1 species